ACAAGAUGCUACAACCCGACUGGGGGAUGGCUCGGCUCGAGAGCCGAAGAAGGUCGUGACAAGCUGCGAUAAGUUGCGGGGAGAGGCAAGAAUCUCUUGGAUCCGCAAAUUGCUGAAUUGGACCUCCUGGCACUCUGUGCCAUUCCUCAAUGAGGAAAGGGAACCUCCUGAACUGAAGCAUCUCAGUAGGGAGAGGAAAAGAAAUCAAUCGAGAUUCCGUUAGUAGUGGCGAAUGAACACGGAAUAGGACAAACCGAAUCUCUAUGGGAAACCUUAGAGAAAUGUGGGGUAAGGAUCAUCUGUAGUCUAAGUGCAGGAAGUGGAAGUCGUCCUGGAACGGCGCACCACAGAGGGUGAAAGUCCCGUACACGUACUGCAUAUGGCCAAGUGAUGAAUCCUGAGUAGCGUGCGUUGGAUAUCGCGCGUGAAUAUGGGAGGCAGAGACUUCCAAUCCUGAAUACUACUCGAGACCGAUAGUUGACAAGUAGCGUGAGCGAAAGCUGAAAAGUAUCCUUAGCGGGAUGUGAAAAGACCCUGAAACCAGUCGGGAACAAGCUGAAUAGGCGUGAAAGCGAAGAUAUGAGCAGCGUCUAUUCUUGCGUUUCGAAAAAUGCCCCUGGGAGUUCUGAUCAUUGGCGAGGUUAAGCAGUUGAACUGCGAAGCCGAAGGGAAACCGAAAGGUCCGCAGCCGCGUAAGCGGUCAGGGACUGGGUGAGCUCGCCCGGAGUCAAUGGUGGGAGACCUGAAGCCUAUCGAUCUAUGCCUGGCCAGUCUGAAGCCCGAUGAAAAUUGGGUGGAGGGACGAACCGUUGCUGAUGUGCAAAUCGCUCGGAAGAGUUGGGUAUAGGGGUGAAAGUCCAAUCGAGAUGGGCAAUAGCAGGUUCCGCGCGAGACUACUCGUAGGUAGACCUCCGUAGAGAUAGAAUGCGAUGUAGAGCACUGAUUGGGUGUUUAGGGGGAGCAAUCCCUCGGCACGCUGUCAAACUCCAAAGUUGCAUUCGUCGUAGAAGCGGGGAGUGAGCCACGGUGGGUAAGCUACCGUGACGAAAGGUGAAGAAACCAGCUCAGCGUUAAGGUCCCAAAAUUUCAGUUAAGUGUUAAUCACAAACGGCGUCCGUGGUCGAAGACAACCAGAAGGUGGGCUUAGAGGCAGCCAUCCUUGAAAGAGUUCGUAACAGAUCACUGGUCAAGCUUGCGGGCCCGAAAAAUGGACGGGACUCAAACUGAAUACCGAUACGCUGACCCUCCGAAAGGAGAUGGGGUAGCGCGGCGACGUGGUCGGGUAGAAGCUAGGUCGUGAGAUCUAGUGGACCGUCUACGUAUGAGAAUCCAGGGAAGAGUAGCAGCAUAGUGCGGUGAGAAUCCGCACCACCGAAGGGGCCAGGGUUCCUCGGCAAUGUUCAUCAGCCGAGGGUUAGCCGGUCCUAAGGACAUCCUUAACCGAGAUGUUCGAAAGGGAAAUGCGUUAAUAUUCGUAUGCCCCUCUGCAAAUCUGGUAACGGCUCGGGCUAGUUCGUGCAUUCCUGUCAUGGGAUGUCGAAGCGUUCGAUAAUCGAUUGGAGAACCGUAAUGGUGAGAAGAUCGAGAAGGCGUGAGCAAAAGACGAAUGAGGCCAGGGUCCCGUGAAAAGCCGCAGAGGUGACCGUACCGAGAACUGACACAGGUGCCCCUGGGUGAGCAGCCUAAGGUGUGACGGGCAAAGUACCGCGAAGGAACUCGGCAAAAUAGCUCUGUAACUUCGGGAGAAGGAGUGCCAGCUUAGAGAUAAGCUGGUCGCAGUAACAAGGGGACUCCGACUGUUUAAUAAAAACAUAGCCGACUGCUAGUUCGAAAGGAUGCGUAUAGUCGGUGAAUCCUGCUCAGUGCCGGUAUCUGAAAUUGGGUUUCAACCUGACGAAGGACCGGUAAACAGCGGGGGUAACUAUGACCCUCUUAAGGUAGCGUAAUACCUUGUCGCUUAAUUGGCGACUUGCAUGAAUGGCACAACGAGAGUCCCACUGUCUCCGCGGUACGUCCGGCGAAAUUGACUAUUACUGGCGCACAGUCCAGUAACCUCAACCUGCAAGCGAAGACCCCGUAGAGCUUUACUGCAGCCUGGCGUUGUACAUUCGCACAUUUUGUGCUGAGUAGACGGGAGAUGUUGAUCCUCGGGACGUCAGUCCCGGGAGUAGUCGUCCAUAGAGACACCGUCCUUAGUGUGUGACUGUACUUACUCUUCAUGAGAACACCGCUUGGUGGGCAGUUUGGGUGGGGCGCCACGCGCCCGAAAACCUAACAGGCGUGCCCAAAGGUCAGCUUAGGUGGUUCAGUCUCCACCGUAAACCGUAAGGGGAAAAGCUGGCUUGACGUGGAUCGGACCAAUAACGAUCGACGAUGCGAAAGCAGGGCCUAACGAACCAAUGUGCCUCAUUUCUGGGGGCCAUUGAUAACAGAAAAGUUACCUCGGGGAUAAUUGAGUUGUCACCAGCAAGAGCACAUAUCGACCUGGUGGCUUGCUACUUCGAUGUCGUCUCUUCCCAACCUCCCGGUGCAGCAGCUGGGAAGGGUGGGGUUGUUCGCCCAUUAAAGGGGAUCGUGAGAUGGGUUUAGACCGUCGUGAGACAGGUUUGUUGCUUUGUGGUUGAGGCGUAUCAGGUGCCUGAUCGGAAGGGCCCUUUAGUACGAGAGGAACGAGGGCUCGGAGCCACUAGUUUACCAGUUGUCCGGCAGGGCAAUGCUGGGUAGCCACGCUCUACGCGGAUAAGAGCUGAAAGCAUCUAAGCUCGAAGUCGCCCGAAAGACGAGGCACCUCAGGGGACUCGUAGAAGACGAGUUUGAUAGACAGCGGGUGUAAGUACCGAGGUUCGCCGAGGUAUUCAGCCCAGCUGCACUAACCCCCCGAGCAUCCAAAA
rnacentral:rRNA from 1 species